CCCUUAGAGGUUCUGGGCCGCACGCGUGCUACACUGAGUGGAUCAGCGGGUCAGGUUGCGCGAAAGUGUUUCCUAAUCUUUAAAUCCGCUCGUGAUGGGGAUUGACGGUUGCAAUUUUCCGUCAUGAACGAGGAAUACCUUGUAAGCGCGGGUCAUCAUCCCGCGCUGAAUACGUCCCUGCCCUUUGUACACACCGCCCGUCGCUCCUACCGAUUGAGUGGUCCGGUGAGGCUUUGGGAUCUGAGCGGAAAGAGCGUUUCGCUGUUUCUGCCCGGAAAACUCAGUCGAACCUUAUCAUUUAGAGGAAGGAGAAGUCGUAACA
rnacentral:rRNA from 1 species